GUCAGACUUGAGCUCGGGCGUAGCGGCUAGACCGGGCUGUGGCGAUAGAGUCCAAAGAUGGAGGAAGGAGGUCCCAAGCCAAGGAAUGCAGCAUGGGCCUCUAGAAGCUGGAAUGACCCUCACCUCACGGCCAGCAAGAAAUCAGGGAACUCAGUCUUACCCGAGUGAGCAGGAAAUCGAUUCUCCUCUGCAGCCUCUAUAGAGAACACAGCCUGUCAACACCCUGAUUUUGGCCCAAUGAGCCCUGUACCUCCAGAAGUGUAACGUAAUAAAUUUGUGUUGUUUUAAGCUAUUAAGCUGUGGUUAAUUUGUUAUGGCGCCAAGAGAAAACUAACAUGACACAUACUUCUCUAUAUAUUCUUCCCUUCUAG
rnacentral:lncRNA from 1 species